CUUCACCGACCCCAGCCACAACGGCCGUUCCGCCGAGCGCCCUUGUCCGUACGUCGCCAGCAGCGCCCGCGCUUC
rnacentral:antisense_RNA from 1 species